rnacentral:rRNA from 1 species
UACGUAGGGAGCAAGCGUUGUCCGGAAUCAUUGGGCGUAAAGAGCGUGUAGGCGGCUCGGUAAGUCCGCUCUGAAAGCCCGGGGCUCAACCCCGGGAGGCGGGCGGAUACUGUCGGGCUAGAGUCCGGAAGAGGCGAGUGGAAUUCCUGGUGUAGCGGUGAAAUGCGCAGAUAUCGGGAGGAACACCAAUUGCGAAGGCGGGACUCUGGGCCGAUACUGACGCUGAGGAGCGAAAGCGUGGGGAGCAAACAGG